GAGGGCGAUCUGGCUGCGACAUCUGUCACCCCAUUGAUCGCCAGGGUUGAUUCGGCUGAUCUGGCUGGCUAGGCGGGUGUCCCCUUCCUCCCUCACCGCUCCAUGUGCGUCCCUCCCGAAGCUGCGCGCUCGGUCGAAGAGGACAACCUUCCCCGCUAGAGGAGGACCGGUCUUCGGGUUCGGUCAAGGGUAUACGAGUAGCUGCGCUCCCCUGCUAGAACCUCCAAACAAGCUCUCAAGAGAUCGGAAAAGC